GUUUUACCCCCCUGUGCGACGGCCCUGUAUAUGAUAUGAUAUCAAAAUCUCACUCCAGCCAGGUACCCGGAUUUGGCAACCCUGCGCUAGCUUAGUGGAGCAAAAAUAAUAAGCGACGAGGCAAAGGAGACAAUCGUGUGAAAUACAAACCCUAUGCUUGGGCUGUGAUGCAAGCUUUGAAGAUCAGAAACAUGCAAUGUGAAGAGACACCUGGGAGCUGCGUCUUAGAGACUGCUCAGUUGUUGUCAAAGGCUCAGUUGUUGAUGUUAGAUAUAAAGAAACUCGUGGACUGUUAUGGGCCAACUUUGCGGAGAGAGGUUCAGCGGGAGUGUCAGGCCUGCAGCGUGGAGGAGGACGGAGAGACCUUGAUCAUAGAUGGCUUCAGGUUUGAGUCUGUGGUCAGCUUGGAGGAACUGUGCAGGCUGAGAUAGCGGGCAGACACCUGAGUGAUGGCUACCUUAGUGGUUCAUCACACAAAGUCAACAAGGUCAAACCACUGGCAGAGGUAGCAAUGGCAGACAGAGAGCCAACAAGUGACAUGAAUGAUGGGGGAAAUAUUUCAACUGCCUAGCUCUUUACAAAAUGUCAACUAUUAUAUAAUGUGUUGUGUUUGUAUGUCAUUUUAUAUCUUCAUUUUGAUAAAUAAAAACGAACA